rnacentral:rRNA from 1 species
AACGAACGCUGGCGGCAUGCCUAACACAUGCAAGUCGAACGAGACCUUCGGGUCUAGUGGCGCACGGGUGCGUAACGCGUGGGAACCUGCACUUAGGUUCGGAAUAACUCCCCGAAAGGGGUGCUAAUACCGGAUAAUGUCUUCGGACCAAAGAUUUAUCGCCUUUGGAUGGGCCCGCGUUGGAUUAGCUAGUUGGUAGGGUAAAAGCCUACCAAGGCGACGAUCCAUAGCUGGUCUGAGAGGAUGAUCAGCCACACUGGGACUGAGACACGGCCCAGACUCCUACGCGAGGCAGCAGUGGGGAAUAUUGGACAAUGGGCGAAAGCCUGAUCCAGCAAUGCCGCGUGAGUGAUGAAGUCCUUAGGGUUGUAAAGCUCUUUUACCCGGGAUGAUAAUGACAGUACCGGGAGAAUAAGCUCCGGCUAACUCCGUG